rnacentral:lncRNA from 1 species
ACACGCACACCUCUCCCAUCAGGACCUUCAGCAUGCAUUAUGUUACAUGAAGGAAAUUGACAGGGUUUAUGCAAUUGUCAAGAAGGUGGUACGCGAAGUUUGAGUUGCGCAAGGUUCAGAAUUUGAGGUUAAUUUUUAUUACAAUCAUUUCAAACGGAUCUAUUUAGACAUAAAACUACAAAUAGGAGGAAAGUUUGCGAAAGGAGAGGUGCAUACCUGACGUCGCAAGAGCAAGCGCACACGUAGACCGCUUCUCCAGUUCCGCUGAUCUGUCAGCUCUGCUACCUGUAUACACCGCGACAGUGAAUUUAAAAAUUAAAAUGGAUAGUGAAUACAGUGGAACUAGCAGAAGUCCUAGUUGACAUCCAGCUGGUAUUGACAUCUAUAUUUGCAUGAAACAGAGUCUGGUUCAAAACGAAUGCAUCAAAUCGCAUUACAUCCUAGCAACACCUAACAAUGCAAGGUGCGAAUAAUAAAGUUGUUCGUUGCAAGUUGUAGUCGAUCACAAGCUACACAAGCCAUGAGCAGCAGGAAUAAAAUCGUGCGGAUAGUAUUGUAAAGUCAAAUUGCUCACAGCUUUUUCAGCAAGCUCCACGGUUUCAAACUCUACAAGCGCGUGCAACUGCAGGAACAAAAAAUCACGAACCUCACCCUAUUAAAUCACCACCUACACAGCAAAAGCAUUUGGCAGAACAGAAUCGCAGCCGCAGUCGCAGAAAUGCUGUCUCCAAUUCAGGGUAUUGCUGACUUUCACAUACCUAUGACAACAUCUAGUACACCCCUUGAACAACAAAACUACCGUGAACACAUUAUCACUGCCACAAUUCCUGUUCACCUUGUUACUAAUCAACAUGUCGGUCUUUGGAUGCUUUGCUGCAGUUGAAUUGGCUCCAUUGGCAGCCUCUGGAGAACAAAUUCGAACCAUCUUCACUGUUCCGACUUUCCGAAACAACGGUUCAAUGGUCUCAAUAGAAGGGUUCUCUGGCAAAUUUUCAGCUACAACAGUACGUGCCUGCUCAAUAACGACACAUUGAGUUGUCACAACACAGGGUGUUUGAAGGGAAAAAAUGUUCAGACACCAGUGACACAAUAGUUCGAUGAAUGCAUUAUAAUUAAAAUCACAGCUGGAGCUGUUGAGAGAGUAAAUAAUGGUAAAAUCCAACAACAAUUCAAAACAGUAGCCAAUUCGUGGAUCUUAAGGUGUGUCCCAAUAAAACGGCAGAAUAAAGAGACCUGAAUUUCCUCGAGAUCAACUUCUGGGAGUGGAUGCGCUCGCCGGACUUUUUUCCCAUCCUCGCUUACCACCUAUUUUGAGAACCAUGUUUAUAGCGCAAGCAAAGAAUUGGUCCAAAUCUUAAUCAAUAUGAUUUACAGCGGAACAAACAAAUAGCCUUGACAUUGAAUGCACACAAUCAACUCACCAACUGUGUCGAACUUCGCAACGCAGCUGCCACGACUGAGUGAUUCUUCACCAAGUUCUUGAUCUUCCUGAACAACGCCACCACAGGAAUCGGGACUGCAAUCACCCAACUAAUUUCUCAGUACGACUGGAUCUCCCAUUGUGCAGGGGGCGGAAGGCUAUGCAAGACAAAACUUGCACAAAGCAGAGGCCAACAAACAACCGAUUUAACACAAUAAUCAACACUGCAGAAAAAAGACCAUUUAUUCGCACGUACCAAACCCUUCGGGAUCCUUCUUCACAAACUUCAUCAAGUAAUUAUCUGUUGGGAGGUUCGCGUCGCUGAAGUAGAAUUCUACCUGCACACCAUGCAAGCUUCGUUAAUUUUACACAUGAAAAUAUAGGCAUCUCCCACUCAACCACUUACAUUGAAAUCUCACCUACAUGUGAUCCUCAAACAGGUUUCUAACCCCGAUUUACAUUACAGAUAGUUGAGCAGCAAAUACGAAUAACCAUGACCCAAUAAUCUUAGAAGUAUAAAGCACCGUUCCACCCAGGAUAAUUAACGCCUGUGUUUUCAAAAUAAAUCCAUUAAUUUUAGAGAAGUUCAUCCAAACGCUUAACAUCUUCUUUUCAUUUAAGUGUAGUAGAACAUCAUUCUACAUUUUAAAAGUUUAACUAUAGAAGCCUCUGCGGGUGAGAAAAUAUAACAUACAUGAAAAGAUUCAGAAAAUGCAUUAGGAGAGUCUGCUAACCGAUAAGAAAAUACGUUGAAAAUUGAAGUUCCAAACUGUGAAACUAAUCUCCACAGUUCUAAUGACAAUAUGAAGCUUCACUAGAAAGCUCAUUCAUAGCCCUCGCAACAAACCACAUUUCAACCAUAUCCAAGAGAGCAUUAAAACCGGCAGAAGUAAUCACACCUGCUUCACAAUCUUGGCCUUCAGCCCCUCCGUAAGCACGGCCUUUGCAGGCUGCACAGAAGUAGCUGGAAUUGCCUGAACCUGCUCGCUCUCCCCACCAUUCUCCUCUAACAGGAAGACAUUAGGACCACCUUUUGCAACAGCUUCAUCACUGCUAGGUGGAGACUCUGAAAUCUGGUACUCGACAGUAGGAACCACAACGUCCGGCACAAAUUUUGACGAGGAAGAGUCCGUCUCGGACGGCGGAGCUAUUAUCACGGGAAUCACAGAAGAUGGAGCUUGAAUCAAAGACAUAGGACUCAGCCCUAACUCUUGAGGCAGUUCUGACACCGGUAAAGACGUGGAGAAGGCUAUCUGCAGUCCCUUAGGAACAAAUUCAGGUGCUCCUGCAUUCAGCUUGGACCCCGAUAGAGACCGACUGAGAAGAUGUACCUUCCUCUCACUUCUGCCAUCGAAGGCCUGACAUACAAAUAUAUUAGUCAGAAAAGAAGCAAACAAAUUUUACUAAAACACCAAUUAAACUAAAUAAAAAAGGAACUUCAAAACGAAAAAUAAAUAAAUAAAAAGUACACAAUCAUAGAACAACCAUUCAGUAAUCAGUCCUUAUCUGAUCUGAAAUUAAGACACACUCUGCUCGAGAUCAUACGCUGGUAGACCCAAGUGGAACUCAAAGCACAUAAUGGUAUCGCAAUUUACCAGCAUCGAAAAAAACAUACGAUCAUUGAACAGUACUCGUCGACAAUUAAAAAAAUAUCGAAAUAACAAAACAAAUGGGAGGAAAGGACAACAUAUGGAUGGGCUCCAUGCAAGGGAACAAGCUCAGAUCAUGACACGAUGGUUGGAUAACCCACUUAUGCAGAAACUCUCAUUACAAGGUAACUGGUGGAAUAAAGGGAGGGAAGACGAAAACAGGUGACAAUAGAAAAAUGGCCAGAAACCCUAAAUUACUCCGAUUCGGGCCGACGACGUGAAACACAGACAAUAAAUUCCCUCUUUCAAAGUAAACUCUAAGUGUACCAAUUCUACUCUACCUCAUACCGAUACAAUCACUCAUUUCAACCGAAUAUUCUCCACAAACCUAAGUCAAGCAUACGAUCGCUGCAAGAUCGGAGCUAGCAUCGCCAAUCCCAACCACGAAUGCAAUCCCCUUCACCGUCACCUCACAAUUCACAACCACUAAAAUCCAGGUCCAAAUCAAAAACACCGCUGAUCAUGCCACACUCGCACCGAACUCGCAGAUCUCGCCACCAGGGUUCUAACCCGAAGCUCCGCACCGAUCAUCUGCCCGCUCAACGACAUAAAAAUCCUCACAUCGCACACCUCAUGUCCGCCAUCUUCACCCAAACCCCUGUACAUCGAAACUCACAACGGGAUCAAACAAAAGCAACCAUGGCACACCUGAGGAGGAAUGCCGCGAGCGGAAGAUGUCGAAUACGUGCGGCGAUAUCGGACCACAUCGAUGGGCGGAGUGCCCGUGCCAGAGGCAACCAUGGCAUGGGACAAGAGAGGGACACCAGCAGCCCGGCGGUGGUGUUGGUGCUGCUGGUGGUUCUGCUCCUUGGUCGUCGUCGACAUGGACACCGGUGCCGUGGCCAUCACCAUAGGUGCGGCGUCGGCAGCUCCGACAGUGGAGCGAGGACGGUGCUGGGCCGUGGCGGCAGCAGCAGCAGCAGCAGGGGGCGCCAUGAGCGGAGCCCGUCUAGUUGCGCUGCUCUCCCAUGGCCAUGGCGUCCAUGGGCGCUGCGAAGCUCCCACUCUGCGACGAAGGACCUCAGCUCCGCCUUCUCGCCGGUGCUCAAAUCCCCGCUGCUUGAUGCGGCCGCUGCUCCCCCCCCCUGUUAUGCGAGACGGGACGACGACCGUCGUGCACUGCGUUCCCCUCCUAUCGCACGCCGUUCUUGGCGAGUUCCUUUCGGGAGCAUGGUUCCAUCUAACGCCCAUUGUUUUAAGCAAACAUUCUCUUGCUCACAAGAAAAUAUUUGUCUUCAAAAUCUAUAUCAUUAUAAAUGUAUGUAACCUUUUCAUAUAACCAUAAUUUUUUUUAGAAUCUUGUUUGAUUUUGAUUCGUGAAUGAAUGGACACCGUUUGAGCUUGAAUGAUUAGUUUGGAAUUUUGUUUUCUUUUUUAGUUUUCUCUUUUGUGAAAUAUUUUGUACAACAAACAUAAGUUUCUUGAAUACAAAAGAGAACUUCAGUCUUUGAAAUUCGAUUUUAAAGUUACUUCUAAGCUUGGCAUUUUGGAUUAACUGUAGGAUUUGGCAUCAGCGUCCUUAUGCUAUACUUUUCUUCUUUUAUUUUAUUUUUUAUUCUUUUCUUUAUUAAAGAUUUAUGCUUUUUCUAUUGCUCACGAGAUUUUUUUAUAAGAAUUCUUUUUAUCAAGCCCAAUCUUCAAAUAAAUAAAUUUUAUGAAAUUUGAAGUAUAAAUUAAUAAUUUCAAAAUUAUAUGAUUUUAAACUUUUAUUUUUAAAGAUAUUUGCAUUAUUAGUUAAAGUCUAAAAUAUUUGACAUUAGUAUUUUUUAUACAGAUAAAUUUAUUUAUUUAAUUUAUGCUAGUGUCACCACAAUUUUUGUUACUAGCACCACAACUUGUCACCUAGUCAACAUAUUUCUUUAGUUUUUUUUUUUUUUUUUUUUUUAAUUCUAAUUAAUAACCUAUUAAUUUUUUCAAUAUAUAUAUAUAUAUAUAUAUAUAUAUAUAUAUAUUGAACUAUAUAGAAAAUAUAUAUAGAAAUAUAUUGAUCUAUAUAGAAAUAUAUAUAUAUUGAACUAUAUAGAAAUAUAUAUAUAUCAAACUAUAUAGAAAAUAAAUUUCAUUCUAACUAUAAAUAAAAUUUAUUAAGAACUUUUUAAUGCUAAUAUUUGUAUAUAUAUAUAUAUAUAUAUAUAUGAAGAUAGUACUUUCUUAUUUAGCAUUGACAAAAGAUGUAGAUUGCAUGUGGUGGAUAGUGGGUUGAAGUGAAAGCAACAAAAACUAUUGUAGCAUCAACAAUACUUUAUAUAUACAUGUACAUAUGCAUGCAUGUAUACAUACAUACAUAAAAUAUACAUAACUAUUUAUAAAUUAAUUUAAUGGUGUAUAUAUAUAUAUAUAUUAAUAAAAAGAGAUAUUUAAUUAGUGAAAAUUUUAAAUGAAUAUAUAUUUUUCAAAAAUAUAUUUAUUUAAUAAUAUAUAUAUAUAUAUAUAUACACACAUAUCAUUUUAUUGAAUUAGUACAUCUUUAAAAAAAUAAUAGUUUUGUUAAACUUCAAUGUAAAUCUCUUUUUGAUAUUAUUUUGUAUUGUUGAUACUCUUUUGUUUAUAAUUUACAUUGAAUUUUUUAAAAGAUUUAACGUGUUUCUCAAAUUAAAAAAAUUGGACAAUAAAAAUCAAUAUGUUUUAAACUAAUAAAAUAUCAAAAAAUAUAUACAUUUUAAAAUUACAUUUUAAAAAUAAAUAAAUAAAAUAUAUUGUGUUGCUAAUGCCACUACAAUUCAGCACUUACUUGAUAUAUUUCUUUAGUUUUUUACAUUCCAAUCAAAUAUUAUUAUUAAUAGUUAUACAUUUUUUUCUUACAAAUUUUAUAAAAAUUAAUUUUAAUUUUAAUGAACAGUAAUCAAUCAAGAAUCAAGUAAAUAAGAAUCAAUCAAGAUAAUAGUAACAAUAGAUUUUAGAUCAGUGUAUUUUAAAAUCCACAUGUACCAAAUUGAACACUUAUUCAACACAAAAUUUUAAUUGAAGUCACCAACUUACACUUCACAUUUAAGGUACAAACGCCAAAAAUUAUGUUACAAAACUUAUAUUGUAUACUUCUACAAAUACAUACAUUUGUACCUACUAUCCAUCUCAUCCUUAGUAAUUGAAUUGAUGUGACUCCAUUGUGAGGAAGAAUGUCAAAAUGUCUCAACAUAUGGGAUGCGUUCCCCAAGUGCCAGGGACUUCACAACUUUUUGCUUUUAAACCGCACUUUUAUUCUGUCGUCGAGGAUGUCUAACCUCAAAGGAAAAAGGCAAAAGCCAUGCUCAGGUGUGCUUGUGGGGCAGAGUUGUUCCGUGACAAUGGCGAUGGUGGCAGCUUCGGACGGAGCUGAUGCGGAACGAUCCCCGUUCCUCGUCUGCUGGGAUCGGCACCGCCUCACCGCGCCUUCUACAGUCGCUGAUUCCAAGUGAAUUCGGUGAGGGUAUACUGCAAUCCGGACCGCCUGGAAAUCAGCAGAUGCAGAUACUUACCUCGAGGCAUUGCUUUUGGAAGCUUGAAGUGUGUUUCUUCUUCGAUGCGCGAGUCGUGAGAUCCCUUUGGCUCUCGUCCAUUAGGUCCUGGUUUCGCGUUUCGGUCCUUUAGGGUCUCCCUUGUUUGCCAGGCUUUUGUUUCUCGUCAGGAGUUUCUGAGGCUGCCACAGAGGUUUUGUCUUGUGGUGUAGCGUCUCAUUGUGAAACCCUUUCAAAUUACACACCUGAUGCUGUGGAAUAUGAAAGUUUUGGGUGUCGUUUUGUAAAGAUGACCAGCAGCCUGACAAGUGGGUUGUUUAGGGGCGAGGGGUUGGUCUUACGCACUCUCGAGGUUGAUCGAAUUCGGGUAGAAUGUGGCAGGAAAGGAUUGUAGCUGUUGUGGAUUAAAAGAACUUGCUGCAUUUCGAGCAACUUUCAAUGUUCGAGUUUGCCCCUGGUUGUGCAUCGUACAGACAAGAAACUUUCUCGUGGAGCUCUGGUAGAGGAGAGGGUUCAAGGGGAAGUAGCGGUGGAGAAGGUGGGGGAAUUCGAGGAUGUUAAGAAGGCUAGGCCAAGUAAUGUUGUAGAUUCUGCGAAAGGAUUGGAGAAAAGGGUUAUCAAAGGAGAGCAGGCUUUUAAUCAGCUCGCCACUGACGCUGUAAUUAAAGUUUUAGAUGUCUUCUACAAGAACAGGGAUUAUGCGCGUUUCUACGUUUUGGAGACUAUUGCCAGAAUUCCUUACUUUGCGUUUGUCUCAGUUCUAAACAUGUAUGAAAGCUUUGGUUGGUGGAGACGCGCAGACUACCUCAAGGUUCACUUUGCGGAGAGCUGGAAUGAGCUCCAUCAUCUCUUGACCAUGGAGGCAUUAGGUGGAGACGAGCGAUGGGUGGAUCGCUUUUUGGCGCAGCAUAUCGCUGUCGGUUAUUACUUCAUGACGGUAGUUAUGUAUUUACUGAGUCCUCGAAUGGCAUACCAUUUUUCGGAAUGUGUUAAGAAGCAUGCUUUUCACACAUACGACGAAUUUAUUAACUUAAAUGCGGAGGAGUUGAAGAAUUUGCCAGCUCCUGAGGUCGCAGUGAAGUACUAUACUUCUGGUGAUCUGUACUUGUUCGAUGAAUUUCAGACUGCCUGCCCUCCAAAUACGAGGCAGCCAAAGGUCGAAAACCUGUAUGAUGUAUUUUGCAACAUUCGAGAAGAUGAAGCAGAGCACUGUAAGACAAUGUUAGCUUGUCAGACGCGAGGAAAUUUACGUUCCCCUCAUAGUGCAAUGCAUGCUCCAGUUACCUUGCCGACUGGUGCGUCAUCAGCUACUGAAGAAGCGAAAUAGAAUUUGUUGGGGGUUGCCAGAGAUUUACCACCUGCAGAGUGCGCAGAUACUAUUGAGUGCGCAUUGACCUCGAGCUCAUUCGUUGAACGAGCACGAAGAAAUGGUAUUGAAGUGAAUCUUGAUCGACUUCCCGAGUAGUGGCAGUGUACAAAAAAAUUCUUGUAGGCCUCGUGCUGCGUAAGGUUGCGAGGCUUUGUCUGAUUCGCACCUUCAACCAAGUGUUGAGUGCUUUGUUUAUAAAUUGUGGUGUUCUAUGUGCUGGUCUUAGGAAUUAGCCCUUCUAAUCUGAAUUUAAUGUUCACGCAUCUGUGCUUGUUGGUCUCAUGUUCGUGAACUGCUACAGAAUUAUCAAUUGGGCUGCUUUUGUGUUUUUUGGAUGUGUGAACCCCAUUUCAUACAUGAUAUUAUCCUGAUUCACCAGUCAUAUCCGUGAGUACCGACUUGGUUCUCAGACUAUAUAGCUCUCAAUCUUUGCUUAAGUGGACGAGAGGUUAUAGUCCAGUAUGUAAUCAAUUUACUUGUUGAAAACUCGUCUAAUUCUCGAUGUGCUACAACCUUGCACAAGGAUCAGAAUCCUUUGAUUGGUGUUUCACUUGACAUCGCAUAGUUCACAUGAUGGUAAGUUAAUUAAGACGGAGUUGUCAGAGACGAAGCAAAGUGACUGGAGGAGCGGUCUAUCAGUUAACGUAAUCUAAUAAAUGUAUAUACGAAUUGGCUGCUACUGCUUCGAAGCAGUAUUACUUGGAUCGAUUUGCAAUGCAAGCAGAACAGGUAUGGAUUUAAUUUGUUGAAUGUGGAGAAGUAGUCCAGGUACGAUUGUGACAACACCUUCGCAGCCGAUAAGUGGUUCGACAGGGGAACGUUACCUGGAUCAAGAGUGUUAUUUGGGCAGAUUUGCCGCACUCUGUGUGCUCACUCAGACUUCCCAUCUGCAUGUUUUUACUUUGCAUCACAUGGGCAGUGACUUGGGCGACGUCAUCUAAGUGUCAUGCUGACUUGAUUCUCAUGGUGACUUUUAAAACAAGCUCAGAUUGGAACAGAAGUCUCCUUCCAUUCAGUGAUACAUUGCAAGUUGGUCUCAGGAUCUUCUAAUCUGGUCCCUAGAUGUGCAAAGGUGAAGCUCUGGAUGAUUGAACAGCUUGUGUGAGGAGAAUCAACCUCCACACUUCAGGGAGGAUGUGUUAUGAAUGAAUGGUGUUCAUCAAAAUUUUGGUUAGCUGUGAAAUUCUUCUCUAUGCCUGUUAACUUGGGUUGCUUUUGAAUCCACAUGUGACAAGCUCAGGGGAAGAUUCUUUGUCUCAAAAUGAUACUAUACACUUGACAUGCAAUAAUAUACAAGAACAAUAGAAUCUCUACGAGUGUUGGGAUUUGUGCUUGAAAUUUCAUGUAUUAUAAUGAUCUCUAUUGUUUCAUGUACUAUGAUCUCCAAUUUUUGUAAUAUUUCAGAAAAUCUGAAACAAAUAUGUAAAGGACUUUAAUUCUUUUCCUAUUAUUCGUCAUGCACUAGGUGCAUGAAGAACCCUCUAUGUAAAUAUCACUGUGACGAAAAUUGUCCAUAAGUAUAGUUUUGGAGGUUGUUAUGCUAUUAUUUUAUUAUUUUAUUUUUUUUUAUUUUUUUAUUAUGGAACAUCAAAUAUAGAGAUUGGAUGGUUGAAAUUUUAACAAAUGUUUACGAAGUCAAUGAGAAGAUAUCAAUAUAAAAAACAUAAAAAAAAAAAAAACAACAUAAAGAAAUAUGAUGAAGAAAGAACAUAAUUUUUGAAUAAAAGAAAAGAAAGGAAUAAGCUUUAAUGGUGGAUCUUAAAGUCUUGGGCUCUAUUUCUACAAUUAUUGAACUAUAGUUUAAUUGAUAAUAUAUUUAAAAUCAAUGAAUGAAAUAAUAAAUUUUAUAUAAAGAAAAUUAAUUUUUCUUUGAAGAAAAGAUCCUAAAGCUUACAAAUAAUUUUGUGAAUUGAAUUCACUAUAUUAUUCUUACAUAUGAUUGUAGAUAUAGUGUUUUUGUUUUUUUUGUUUUUUUUUGAAAAAUCAAUAAUAUGUUUAUUAAUUUUCAAUUUAUUUUUCUAAUCUAUUUUAAAUAAAAAUUUGACUUUUAAUUCUACUUUGUCGUAGUUCAAUAAUGCUAGUUUGCUAACAAAUUUUGUAAAUUUUUCCAUGUUACAAAGAGCUUUUGCAUACAUUAUUCUUAAUAAAUGACAUAGAGCUUCUUUAUAUCAUUAUUUUAUUAAAUUUUUAAACUUUAGAAAAUAAUGAGCUAAGCUUAUUGUAUCUAAAUUCACUUUGACAACACUUUUUAUGUCUCUUGCAUUAGUUAAAAAUAAUAAGUUAGAAAAAAAGCUUACUAAUUAAUGAAUUUAUAGAGGUAAGUCCUUUACACAAUGUAAUAAUUUUAUUUUAUAUGUCUUUGCUACAAACAUUAUUAUUGCCAAUUGUUCAAACAACAAGAGAUUGGAUAAAUAAUCUUAUUAUCACAAAAUCGUAACAAAUAUAUUUAUCAAUAUUUUAGACAAAUAUAUUAGAAUUGGUGCAAUAAUUUGACCUUAACAAUUGUUUACACUACUAGAUCUCUAGGGAGUAAUUCACUUCUUUGGAAUUAUACAUUUAUAGUAAGAACAUUUGAGUUUGACAUGUAUAUUUUUUAGUAUUUUUUUUUCAAGACUUUGAUGGCAAAGUUGGUGAAUAAUGAGAAAAGAAGUUAUUUUUUGGUUAUUUAGAGAUAGGUAAAAAAAUAAAAAAUAAAAAAAUAUAGAUAGUUAAAUAGAAAUUUAAUUUAUAAUAUAUAUAUAUAAUUUUUAAAAUUCUUAUAAAAAUUGGAGCUUGUAAAUUUGGAGAGUGGUAUCAAAUGAUAUUGUUAACAAUUUUUGUAACAAUUCAAAAACUUUUAAAUAUAAUUAUGAUGUAAUGGUCUAAAAAGAUAUUUCUAUAAAAAUAAUGUAAUAUAAAAUUAUAUAUGUUAUUUAUUUAUUUUUAAAAUUUUAUCAUAAAUAUUGUAAUUUGGUAAUUUAAUUAUAUACUUUGUACUUUUAGUUUUUUUCUACCAUCUUGCAAGAUUUUUAAUCUUUAUUUUAAUAAGAUGAUAUGAAUUAUAUGUAAGGUUUUCUUAUUAUUCACUAAAAGUGUUGUACAGAUCAAUACAUGUCUGAAAAAUCUGUUUAUUAUCCAAAAAAUUUAUAAAAAAGCUACCAAAUAAUUGAUUAUAUAUAUAUAUAUAUAUAUAUAUAUAUAUAUAUUGUAAUUAAUUAUGAAUUUUCUUAAAGUUAUUUUUUUGUUGCUCUAUUGAAAAAGCAAUACAAAUAUUAUUAAAGGACUUUCCUAGUUCUUCCAUAUUUUGUACUGCAUCAUGGAAUUGGCAUAUAGAUGAAAAUAUAUACAAUAGUGCUACAGUGAUGCUACUCAAGUUGUUAAUAGAUAGAACAAUCUAAUAAGCACUAUCUCUAUUUAACUAUUGCUUAAUUUAUUAACUUUAAUGCUAAUAAAUUCAUGACUAUUAUAAAACAUGAUAUAUAUAUAUAUAUUAGAUUAGUUUUUGGUUAUUUUUUAUGUCACUACAAUUAUUGCUAUUGCAACCACAGCAUGCCACUUGUUUCAUAUAUAUAUAUAUAUAUAUAUAUAUAUAUAUAUAAUAAUAUUAAUAAGAAAGAUUUAAAAUUUAAUAAGAAUAACUUGUGGUGGAUUUAGGAAUAUUCUAAUUUAUAUAUCAAUUAAAAUUAAUAUAAAAAUAUGUUUUAUCAUAUGUUUUAUCAAUCACAUUUAUAAAGAUUAUCAUAUUCUUUAUCAUAGAUAGGUAAAUUUAAUAAAAACUUGGGUCUAUUUAACAUUCUCCUAAAUUUACAAUGUGAAAAUAUCACAAUAUUCUACAACACCUGAUGAAUUUUUUAAUUGCAUUAUUAUAAAUGUAUACUUUUUUAAAGUAAAACAUGUAAGUCUAAUAAUGAUGUUAUUUGUAAUUAUAAAAUUUUAAAAGCACUCAAUUAUGCUAUGAUAAUACUAGUAAAAAAAUUAUUAUUUAUUAUUAUUAUGAUUAAUCUUCAUUUAACUCUUCACAGGACUAUGAUUAAAUUCUCUUUCUCUCUCGCAAUACACAAACAUAUACAUAUUGACAAUUAAAAGUGAAAAUAAUUAAAAUGGUGUCACCAAAAACUAUACAUGAUUCCCCGUGUAAGGAGUGAGACGGGGAGAGCAAUUUCAAGAUUUAAACUUUUCGGUGAAUUCAAUGAAUUAUUAACACAGCUGGUAAAAAACAUCGGAACUGUUCUUCAACAUCGCUAGCCUAUUUCAUAUUUAUGCUUUCAAAUAGUGUUACACAGAACUAAUAUCGAUUUAAUAUUCCUCCAUAAGGCAUGCAACUGUAAACAACGUCCUUCGAUCACAAAAGAUUGUUCCUCGAUUGUAAAUGCCGCUCUGCAGUAUUAAAUAACGUUCUUCAAUACUUAACAAUAUUCUUCAAUUACGAACAGCCACAACAUCUUUCCGAAUGUAUCGUACCUGAGUUUCCACAGACGCAGCCACACGAUGAAUGCCACACCGCAAUAAACACCACGUUGACGCCAGCGGGAUUAUGCAGUACCUGACAAAAAAGUCAUCGUGUGCUAAGAAUCCAAUCAAUCUGCAGAGUUAUGGAAGGUUGCAGCAGGAGUGUGUGCGCGACAGCCUAUUCGAUAUGAUUGACAAUUUAAACAGAAACCUCACAUGGUCUCUCACGUCGGUAAGACGCUGACGACAAACCAUGAAUAUUUAUCGCGACAGAGCGACAGCAGCUCAAAGGGUUCAUGUCGCCAUCACAAAUGCCAAACGAGAGUCACGAAAACAUUUCAAACUCCAAAUCUGCAAAAGAGUAGAUCGGCGAGGGGCAUCUUUCAAUUGGCACUACAGACAAACCGCGUCCCAAGACACGGCACACAAUAACGGAACAAUGGACAAUCGUAACCGUAGCACAAGAGCCACACCGCAUCUCCCAGUCCAUCAGGGGGUCUUCGAUUACCGACGUACGCGUGUGGGUUUGGAGUCUCUUGGAGGAAGGGAGGAUGGGAUCUAUGCAAGAUCAGUUGAGUUGACUUGGGAGCGUUGGGGAACCCUUGUGCGCGGAUGAGGGGCGUUCGCGUUCCCAGCAUCCUCGCGGCCCAUGCCGCAAACGGUAGGAAGCGUGGUAUGUGUCAUUGGGAGCCAUGGAGAGAGUAGGGCGUUGAAGGGUACAAAACAGAGAGGAGCACGCCUGGUGUCCAGGCCCUUCGUUUGAGGUCGGGGCCUCUGCUGCAGGGAGGCAAUGGCGAUGGAGGUGCAGCAGCUCUAGACGGGCUCCGCUCAUGGCGCCUCCCGUUGCUACUGCAGCUGCUGCGCCAGCCCAGCCCCGUCCUCGCUCCCCCGUUGAACAUGCCGAUGCUGCACCCAUUCCUGUGGUGAAGGCACCUGCGUCGUCGACGACGACGAUGAAGGAGCAGAAUCAGCUUCACCAGGACCGCAGGGAUGGCGCGCCUCUCUCCGCUUAUUCCAUGAUUGCCUCUGGCAUGGGUACCCCGCCCAUUGAUGUGGUCAAAUUCCGCCGCACGCAUUCGACGGCUUCUGCCUACGGCGGCUUACCUCCUCAGGUGUGGCUUGGUUGCUGGUGGUUUUGAUUGUGUGAUGGGCUUCGAUGUACGGGGUUUGAGUGUAGAUUGUGAGUAUGAGGUGUGUGAUGUGAGGAUUGUCUGUUGUUGAGAGAGCAGUGUGGAGCCUCAGGUUGGAAUUGCGGUGGCGAGAUCUGCGAUUUCGGUUGGAAUAGGUCGUGAUCAGCGGUGCCUGUGAUGUAGGCCCUGGUUGUAGUGGGUGUGAGGUGGAUUUGACGAUGGAAUAGAGUGCCGUCGUGGUUGGGAUUGGCGAUGGCAGUUUCGAUCCUGAAGAGAUCGUAUGCGUGGCAUAGGUUUACGGGGAAUGUGUUUGGGAGAUGAGUGAUUCGAGAGUUUUCGCUGAUGUCAGGCAGAAUAGCUUUGGCAAAGUAUCAGAUUGAAUCGGAAAAGCAGGUUUUGGACAAGUUGCUGGUGAUGGGACUGCGUGAAAUGCCUCUGGGUAGGGAAUUCUGGUUGUCCUGAGUCUUGGCUUCUUGGUUUUUUUUUUUUUUUUUUUUUUUUUUUUUUUAAUAAUUUAAUUUUAAAUUUCUUUCCCUUGUUUGGUCUGUUCCUCAUGGUUGCAUACCUUGUGAGUAUUUCCAUCUCUCUUGUAGCCUUUCCUAGUUCUCAUUUUCAUUCUGUCUACUGCUUGUCCGUUACAACUGGUUUGAUUGCGUAACUUUUCAUCGCGACUUUGACAGUUAGCAAGAAAAUGCGUAGUCAUUCUGUGCAUUGAAUUUUAAUUUGCAACAGUAGAUCUUUUGAGCAUUUGAUUUUGAGCCAAUUUGUGCUGAGCCAAUUUGAGGUUUGUUUCAGGUGUUUGCUAUUUCUUGCGACGCUCUCGUGUCCUAGUCUUUGUUUACACUCCUCGGUUCCCAUGGUGACAGAGCACUAUACAUGCCUUCACAGUUGUGCCCUACGUGCUCACUAGCCAUUCUGAGUGUUGCAUCGAAGAAACGUCUAUUUUUUUGUUCUUUGCUACGCAUUUAUCUAUCUGUCUAUCUAUAUAUAUCUUUUGUACUGACCACUCGAUGUGAAUACCAGAUCUUAGAUUAUAGACGUGGCAAGAAUGACCGGAAGGUUCCUCUUCUCAGUCGAUCUUUAUCGGGGUCGAAGCUGAAUGCAGGAGCUCCUGAAUUUGUUCCGAAGGGACUGCAGAUAGCUUUUUCUACGUCUUUACCGGCACCAAGGCGUGCUCAAGAAUUAGGGUUGAGUGCCCCGUCUUUGGUUCUUUCUCCAUCGUCUGUGAUUCCAGUGCUUGUAACUCCACCGUCUGGCGUUAUCCAUGCCGUGCCGGCGGUUGCCGUUGCCAAGGUUGAGGAACAUGUCGCAGAGUCUCGACCUAGUGUUGAUCGGGUUCUCGCAAAAGAUGGCACAGGUUGCUCCGAUGUUACGGUGGCAGUGGAGCAUAGUGAGGAGUGCGACCAGACUCAGGCAGCUUCAACCUCUGUGUCACAGCCUGUUAAACCAAUCGUCACGGAGGAGCUGAAGGAUAAAAUAUUGAAGCAAGUAUGUUUGUUUCGAACUUUUGAAUUACUUUUGUCGGGAGGUUCAUUUGUAAAGUAGAGCUUGCGAACAAUGCGCAUUUUCUCCUUGAAGCUCUAGUAUGACCUUGUGGAUAAUUUAGUGGUUUUAGUUGUGGCCUUCGAAGUAGAAUCUUACACGCAUUAUCUUUGCUGUAGAAGUUUCCACUUGGACAACCUCUACACGUGACAACUCGCGUUGAAUGAGUUGUUUUUGAUUGACAGAAAGGAAUAUGAGUCUUAUUCCUCAACCUCCGUGGUUCUUUUGCGGUAGCCUUUUUAUUUCGACUGUCGGAAUCAUUCAUAAUAUGUAAUUAGUUGGAUUAUCGUAUACCUCGUCCCAUGUGGUAGAGUAGAGUACUAGAUUACUGAUGUUAUUCGUUGUGUUGAAUACAUGCUUCAGUGAUCGUGAUGAUUUUCUUCUUGCAUGCGUUCAACGAUUAUAAACAGAGAAUGCUAAUACAUUCAUGGGAAAUAUUAACGCAUCUUGCAUUGCGUGCCAGGUGGAGUACUACUUUAGUGAUGCGAACCUCUCAACAGACACCUACCUCAUGAAGUUUGUGAAGAAGGAUGCAGAGGGCUUUGGUAUGUGAUUCUUAUCGGUUUGUUACUUGUAGUGUUAAUCACAGCGUCUUUAUGGAUGUAUUUUUGCCUCUUCAGAGAGAAUUCUUUUGUCGUUUUUAGCCUUUGCCGUCCCUGGGGGAUGAGAUUUCUAGUGAUACUAAGAAUUGGUUGGUGGUCACAGUCCCAAUUCCUGUGGUGGCGUCAUUCAGGAAGAUCAAGAACCUGAUGAAGAAUCACGGAGUUGUGGCAGCUGCGUUGCGAAAGUCGACUCGGUUGGUGAGUGCAUGAUUGUCCUAAUAGUUUUGAAACAUAAUCUUCAUUGUUUGUUUGUUAACAAUAUUUAACGAGGUGUGCUAUCGGAAGGACUUCAGUUGGAUAUUAACUAUGUGAAUCACAGUUUUAUAUUAUUUCAUGGUUGCGUUUAUGAAUUUGCGUCAUUGCGCCUUCUGUUUCGAAGAAAUUAGAAACUUCGCCAACAUUUCAUUCACAUGGUAAACAUGCUGGUUGAAUCAGGUUCUAAGCGAGGAUGGGAAAAAGGUCCGGCGAGCUCUCCCACUUCCAGAUGUUGAUUCAGAGGAAGUGCAGGUAUGAGUUUUAUUUAUUUAUUUAUUUUAUCGAUUCUCUAACUUACUCAUUAUCUCGUAAUUUAUUCACCUAGUUUUUAUACCUCGAGGUUGUCGGCAGUAUGUGAUGUCACACUUAUCAUGGUAGCGUGGCAGACUAUCAUUUUUCACAUCCGAAAUUAUUUCUCGUCAACUUCUCUCACCCCCCUUGGGUUUUUUUUUUUUUUUUUUUUUUUUUUUUUUUUUCAGUGAUAACUUCGUUUCACUGCUGGGUUUUCUGAUAAUCUGUUUUGGCGUAUUUGAGCAGGCACGCACUGUCGUAGCUGAGAACUUGCCUGAGGAGCACUCCAUUGAAAGCAUGGAACAGUUGUUUGGUAAAGUGGGCACUGUCAAGUUGGUUCGGAUCUGUUCACCAGAUGCUGCCAUUGGGACCCAUGGAGCUGGAGGGAGGCAUACGAAGAGUGACAUGCUAGUUAGCAAUAAGGUGAGGGCUUACUAUGUACUAACACCGAUUGCAAUUUGAACCUUGCUCUUGUUAUUGAAAUGUUCGCAUGCACUAAUUUGAUGUAAAUGUUACAUGAAUAGAGAACAUCAUAACAGGAGAGACCAUGGGCGUUGUAGUUAGAUUUGUUUAAAAUCUAGGCCGCUCUUGGACGUGAGUAGGUACAUGACAGAUGAUUAACUUCUGUUACAGUUGCACGCAUUGGUGGAAUACGAGACCGUGGAGCUUGCUGAGAAAGCUGUAAGUAUUGAUAUGCUAAAAGUUUUCUAAUCCUCGCAUACGUGCUUUUCGUUUAACAUAUAUUCAUGAAACUCUAGAAAACCGUCUUGGCUUUUGAACAAAACUCUCCACAAACGGACUCGUAAGUAUCAUGAACUGAAUCAGAUUCCUGUACUAAGUUUGCGAGGGGUCAAAGCGCUUGCAGUCGGGCGCGAAUGCUUACAAGGUAACUUCUUCUGCCCAGGUGACUGAGCUGACAGAUGAGAGAAACUGGAGAAGUGGACUACGUGUUCGUUUGCUGCUGAAACGUCAGGUAAUUGCGUUCAAAUUUCCUAUAGCUCAACUAAGUACAAUGGGAGUCUUUGUGUUGCCACUGUAGCAGUACAUGAUACAGUCAUGUAUACCUUACAUUUUGGAUAAUUGCGGUGCUUUCCAAGUUCGACUGUGCGUCGAAUAUAUCUAUUCCCCGGUCGACAAGCUUUUGAGUAUUGCACGCUGAAGGUCCUGAUGGGAGAUGUGUGCGUGUGCACAGUUUCAGAACAAACAAAAUUACCAGCAGGCCCCUCAUCAGAGGACGCGCAAACCAAGUAUGGACGGCAUCGAUCUCGUGAUGGAUGAUGAAGACGGUGACAAGGCAGAGAAGGACGCCGACAGAUCUCGCGACAAGGCUGGUGGGGAAUCAACAUGCCACAACCAUCACGCAGAUCGUGGCGACGAGGUUAUGGUGAGUUGUGUGAGCUACGCGAUGUGCGGAUUAGAGUGGGCGUUUGUCCUUUCGUGGCGGGUGGUGGUUUGGUAGUUGCGGGAGGCAGUGUGUUGGUGUGCGGGGAUAGUGGGAGAAUGGGUGGGAGGGGAAAACGUGAGAGGAUGUUGAGGAGAUAGGUGUGUUGGUGUGCAUGGUUGCAGGGUGAGGGCGGAGAUCAUGUGAACAAGAAGGGAAGAGGUCGAGGCCGAGGUGGGAGAACGGGUGGAGGUGGUCGGGGUCGCGGUCAGCAGUUUUACAACACGCACGUGGGGACACCACCUCGGGACGGUUUACAUGUGGUGAGCGAGAUGAUAGGAAAGCCGCCGCCAGGACCUCGCAUGCCGGAUGGGACACGAGGGUUCGCGAUAGGCAGGGGCAGGAUGGUGAGCGCGAUGAGCAGCUGUGAAGAGCGUGGCGUAGCAGUGUAGGUGGUGAAUGUGGAUGUAGGUAUUGGAAAGUGGAGCAGUGUGGCUCCGAGGGAAUAUGAUGUGAUUAUGGUGAAGUGGGUGUAGUGUAUGCGAUGCAGUGUGGGAUGUCUGAAUGCAUGGGAUGGGAUGGGAUGGGAUUGAGUGUUCGAUGUGCAGGGAUGAGAGAGUGGGUUUGGGGGGGGGGGUUGUGUGCGUGUGUGCAAUGUAGUUGUACGGACGAGCAGACUUGAAAUUUCUAGAACGGAAUGAAGUCGACAUACGCAGACUAGGAUAGUUUCAGCGAAAACUGGCUACGUUAUGACCAAAGAAUUGCAUGCCGGGUAGUUUAGGUUGGGAUUUUGUAGGAUCGGUUUGUGUUGAUGUUGGUAAUGUGUGAAGUGUGUGUUCAACUUUGCAUGGGUGAAUGGAGGUUAUGUCGUCCUGGUGAAUGACACUGAAUGUGAAAUGUUUGAAAAGGAAUCUCUUGCAUGGUGCAUCAAAGAAUUAGUAAGAUCCAAACAUGAAGUGGAUGUCAGGUCCUAGACCAACGUCUUUUGCAACCAAAUCGUAUUUCUGUUCUGAAAUAAUUUUAGAAUUGUAAAUAAUAGUAAAACAAAAGUUGUGUGAGAACAGAGCUAAACAACAAGUUUCUUAGAUAUUUGCUUUGAUAUCUGCACUCCAAGCGGAACUAUUUGUGAAUCGUAUGUAGUUGAGACUGCGGCACUUGAUUAGCGGAGUUUUUCAGUAAUCUGGUGAAUCAUGAAGCUCUAUUACAUAAGUUUUUGUAGUACGAUUACUGUGUGGCAGAAAAACUGCGCCGACUAUAAUCGUAAUAAUUGAUCUAGAAGUCCAUUAUUGAAAUAUUUGCAAUGAACAUAAUUAUGUAGACAUUGACCAUGAAAUUUAUAAAAGUCACCCUUUGAAGGUAGUUGAAAGAAGUUAUUCUAAAUUAUGGUGUCAAUGUUUGACGAAAAUGAAAUGUGAAGCACUGAAAUAUGAUUCUCUCUCUUUAUUUAUCUUUCAUACAAAACAAUUCAUGAUAGACAAAUAUAAGAGAUAAAUAAGAGGAGACAAAAACUCUCUCUAAUUGGGUGCAUGCAUUAUUGUUUUCAUCAAAAGUAAAUCAAAAUUCGAAUUUACAAGGCCUUAACAAAACCAAGCUAACAGUGAUUGUAUCAAAAGACUAUGCACAAUUGCAUGGUAUUGAGAACAAUGCAAGCUCAAAGCAUAAUCGGUUGGAGUUUCGCCUCACAAGAAUUUUGUUUGCCACUAGCAAAUUUGUAUUGUUAAUUCAAGGAGGGCAAUGUGAGGAGAGUAUAAAAAUAAAAUGGGGAG